rnacentral:rRNA from 1 species
AUUGAACGCUGGCGGCAGGCCUAACACAUGCAAGUCGAGCGAGCGGCGCACGGGUGAGUAAUAUAUGGGGGCUGACCGAGAGAGGGGGAUAACGACAGGAAACAGUGGCUAUUACAGCUUACUGUAGGAGGACUCCCAUGGGAGUAGCUAGUAGGGAAGGUAACGGCUUACCUAGGCGACGAUCCCUAGCUGGUCUGAGAGGAUGAUCAGCCACAAUGGGACUGAGACACGGUCCAGACUCCUACGGAGGCAGCAGUGGGGAAUAUUGCACAAUGGGCGCAAGCCUGAUGCAGCCAUGCCGCGUGUAUGAAGAAGGCCCUAGGGUUGUAAAGUACUUUCAGUCGGGAGGCGUUACCGACAGAAGAAGCACCGGCUAACUCCGUGCCAGCAGCCGCGGUAAUAC